rnacentral:rRNA from 1 species
GCACAAGCGGUGGAGCAUGUGGUUCAAUUCGACGCAACGCGAAGAACCUUACCAGCCCUUGACAUGGGACUCGCCGGGAGCAGAGACGCUCCCUUCGGUUCGGCCGGAGUCCGCACAGGUGCUGCAUGGCUGUCGUCAGCUCGUGUCGUGAGAUGUUGGGUUAAGUCCCGCAACGAGCGCAACCCUCGUCUCCAGUUGCCAUCAGGUUAAGCUGGGCACUUUGGAGAAACUGCCGGUGACAAGCCGGAGGAAGGUGGGGAUGACGUCAAGUCCUCAUGGCCCUUACGGGCUGGGCUACACACGUGCUACAAUGGCGGUGACAAUGGGAUGCGAUGGCGCGAGCCGGAGCCGAUCCUAAAAAGCCGUCUCAGUUCGGAUUGCACUCUGCAACUCGAGUGCAUGAAGUUGGAAUCGCUAGUAAUCGAGGAUCAGCAUGCCUCGGUGAAUACGUUCCCGGGC